GGCGGCAUAGCUCAGUGGUAGAGCAUUCGACUGCAAAUCGAGAAGUCACCGGUUCAGUCCCGGUUGUCCCCU
rnacentral:tRNA from 1 species